GUGGGUAUAGCUCAGUGGUAGAGCACAUGCUUAGCAUUCACGAGGUCCUGGGUUCAAUUCCCAGUACGUUCG
rnacentral:tRNA from 1 species